GAGUUUGAUCCUGGCUCAGGACGAACGCUGGCGGCGUGCUUAACACAUGCAAGUCGAACGGAAUCCAUGGUGUAGCAAUACACCGGAAGAUUUAGUGGCGAACGGGUGAGGAUCACGUGAGAAACCUGCCCCAGACUUUGGGAUAACAAUUGGAAACGAUUGCUAAUACCGAAUGACGUCGGAGAACCGCAUGGUUCACUGACGAAAGGAAAUCCGGUUUGGGAGGGUCUCGCGGCCUAUCAGCUUGUUGGUGGGGUAAUGGCCUACCAAGGCAACGACGGGUAGCUGGUCUGAGAGGAUGAUCAGCCACACUGGGACUGAGACACGGCCCAGACUCCUACGGGAGGCAGCAGUGGGGAAUCUUGCGCAAUGGGCGAAAGCCUGACGCAGCAACGCCGCGUGCGGGAUGAAGGCCUUCGGGCUGUAAACCGCUUUCAGCAGGAACGAAAAUGACGGUACCUGCAGAAGAAGGAGCGGCCAACUACGUGCCAGCAGCCGCGGUGACACGUAGGCUCCAAGCGUUGUCCGGAUUUAUUGGGCGUAAAGAGCUCGUAGGCGGUUUAGUAAGUCGGGUGUUAAAACUCUGGGCUCAACCCGGAGAGGCCAUCCGAUACUGCUGUGACUUGAGUUCAGGAGGGGAGCGGGGAAUUCCUAGUGUAGCGGUGAAAUGCGCAGAUAUUAGGAGGAACACCGGUGGCGAAGGCGCCGCUCUGGACUGAAACUGACGCUGAGGAGCGAAAGCAUGGGUAGCAAACAGGAUUAGAUACCCUGGUAGUCCAUGCCGUAAACGGUGGGCACUAGGUGUGGGUUCCAACUAACCGGGAUCCGCGCCGUCGCU
rnacentral:rRNA from 1 species